rnacentral:siRNA from 1 species
GUCGCAAAAUGCGUAUAGCAAGA